rnacentral:ncRNA from 2 species
AAUAGUUGCUAGGGGUGCCGAAAGGCUGAGAAGGAUUUUUCCUAACUCUACGAACCUGAUGUGGUUAAGACCACCGUAGGGAAGCAUAGGUUUUAUUUU